rnacentral:tRNA from 1 species
CUCUGACAGCUCAGAGGGUAAAGAAUCUGCUUGCAAUGCAGGAGACCCAGGUUCGAUCCCUGGGUCAGAAA